rnacentral:rRNA from 1 species
CCUACGGGAGGCAGCAGUGAGGAAUAUUGGUCAAUGGACGAGAGUCUGAACCAGCCAAGUAGCGUGAAGGAUGACUGCCCUAUGGGUUGUAAACUUCUUUUAUAAAGGAAUAAAACGAGGCACGUGUGCCUUUUUGCAUGUACUUUAUGAAUAAGGAUCGGCUAACUCCGUGCCAGCAGCCGCGGUAAUACGGAGGAUCCGGGCGUUAUCCGGAUUUAUUGGGUUUAAAGGGAGCGUAGAUGGGUUGUUAAGUCAGUUGUGAAAGUUUGCGGCUCAACCGUAAAAUUGCAAUUGAUACUGGCAGUCUAGAGUACAGUUGAGGUAGGCGGAAUUCGUGGUGUAGCGGUGAAAUGCUUAGAUAUCACGAAGAACCCCGAUUGCGAAGGCAGCUUACUAAACUGUGACUGACAUUGAUGCUCGAAAGUGUGGGUAUCAAACAGGAUUAGAUACCCUUGUAGUC